rnacentral:rRNA from 1 species
UACGGAGGGUGCAAGCGUUAUCCGGAUUCACUGGGUUUAAAGGGUGUGUAGGCGGGUAUUUAAGUCAGUGGUGAAAUCUCUGGGCUCAACUCAGAAACUGCCAUUGAUACUAUUUAUCUUGAAUAUCGUUGAGGUUGGCGGAAUAUAUCAUGUAGCGGUGAAAUGCAUAGAUAUGAUAUAGAACACCGAUUGCGAAGGCAGCUAACUAAAACGAUUAUUGACGCUGAGGCACGAAAGCGUGGGGAUCAAACAGG